ACCCAAGAUCGCGUGGCCAGUAUUCUCUUUCUUUCCACUUGUUUUGCUGUUGGGCUUCUCUCUCCUGGCUCUGAAGGAGCAUGAACUUCAGAACAUCCCCAAAGGACUACGCAGCACAGUCCAAAGCCAAUGGAAAAGUGACGUGAGCCCUGCCAUUAUGUAAUGCAGUAGAAGAGCCCCUCGACUGGGCUGCUUUACAGGAACCAACUCCUGGGACGCAUCUGGGACUGCAAGCCCAACAGGACAAACGGGAGGAAUUUUUGUUUGUAAGAGGAAAGGAAAGAAAGAAUUCCAGCCUUGACCCAGACUGACUGCAGUGUCCCGCCUGGGAAGCAGCAGACUGCUUGGUCUCCAGUCCUUGGUCCAGGAGGCGACCUCCCAGGGCGCUGGUGAGGACUGCGUGAGAUGACAGAGGAACCACCUGUUUGCUUCCACUCCCCACUUUUCCUGACAGAAGCUUGGUCCCAGGCUGCUUUCUAAAGUAGCCUCUGCUACUGUGUGUGCUGGGAGCUGCAGAGCACAGGAGAAAGCGGACCUUGCCUCUCCUGGGUGCUUGACUUGCCUGGAUGGAGACCAAUAUUUGGAGCAGCUGAGUUCUCACAGUUCAACGUUUUCCUUGUGGGAGAAGCACAGUCACUCAACCAACCAAAAAACCAGAAACCUCAAGGGCAAAACUCCAAAACCAAGAUCAUUAAAAUAUGGAUCACCGGUUUACCCAACUACCCAAUAUCCCACCCGAUAUCAGAGUUUCUCCCACAGCCUCCUCUACUGGGUGAUCAGCCAGGAUCUUGGCUGUGAAAUCAGCUGUGAAGCCGCCAGGUGUCUCACGGCUUAACUUAGGCGGUGUCCACUUCACUGCCAAUCAACCUUAUGCUGAGCCAAAUCCACUGUUUUGUAGCUUCUUCCAGCUGACCCUUGUUCUGCAUUUUUGGAGCAAACCACAAUAAAUAUAAUCCCUUGUCCACAUUACCACUGUUGAAAUAUCUUAUUGCAGUUAUCAGGUCUUCGCCAUUCCCCAUCCAUAUCACCUCUUUUUCAAAGUCAACUGAGUGACUAAGCACAGACACUCCCUCAACAUGAUACAUAGACUUUUAGCAUCCUAUUCAUUUACUUUUGAACUUGCUCUUAUUCAUCAAGGUGUAAUGGGGAAGAACCUUUUGUAUUCUAUUACAAGUUAAUCAC
ensembl:lncRNA